rnacentral:rRNA from 1 species
UACGGAGGGAGCUAGCGUUGUUCGGAAUUACUGGGCGUAAAGCGCGCGUAGGCGGCUUUGUAAGUUAGAGGUGAAAGCCUGGAGCUCAACUUCAGAAUUGCCUUUAAGACUGCAUCGCUUGAAUCCAGGAGAGGUGAGUGGAAUUCCGAGUGUAGAGGUGAAAAUUCGUAGAUAUUCGGAAGAAACACCAGUGGCGAAGG